AUAAAAUAUGUAAUUUGUAGAGAGUUAUAACGAAGCUUCGUUAUAUGGAAACCCGGAAUUAGUAUUACAAAUACGUUAUCAUAUACUUUUCAUUUCCACAUACAUCUAUCUCUUAAAUAAAUUGAUGGUGUUGGAAACACUCAUCAUAUGCAAAUUAUUCCACUAAUUCCACUAAUUCCACUAAACACUCUUUACACUCAUCAUUGCCGGCCAUCUUCUACACUCAUUCCACUAAAUAAUCAUUAUUCCACUACCUCCCCACUACUACACCCUUUUUCCCCACCAAUACACCUAACUCUCCACACACUUCAUUUUUUUUAUUUCUCCACCACUACAUUCCAUAUUCAGCACUACAUCUUGCAGAUUCCUCAUUAAGAAAUCCUCUCUCUCUAAUCUUCUAAAUUACCAUUUUCUUUCCUCCUACUCCUCACGGGUCCUUCAAAGAAAUUAUCAAGUUUAUUUCAAGUUCCAAAUCAAGAAUCAAGAAGCCACAAAUCCUCAUCUGCCUCUUCAAGGUCCGGGCGACAGAAAGUGAAGCAGAAGAAGAAACGACUCCACGCCAGCUUUAAGAACAAUUGAGGUUGAGCAGGCGAUGGAAUGGAUCGGUGUUGAGCGGAUUUCCCUUUUGAUGUUUAUGUAAUGAAACCUUGAGUAUGCAUCUCCAUAUGCAUAACUCACACGUUUUUCCGCUGCAAACACUCUGAAUUUGUUAUCGUAUUGUGGAACUUAUUACUCCUUCAUUUUGUUUAACUUUCAUUUGGGGUUUAGUCGUUAUGGCUGGCUCAUUUGUUAAUUACCCAAGUGGUUAUAUAUAUAUAUAUAUAUACCACUAGUUUGUUGUUAUUAAUGUUGGUUAUUUAGUAAA